UACAGAGGUCUCAAGCGUUGUUCGGAUUCAUUGGGCGUAAAGGGUGCGUAGGCGGCGCGGUAAGUCGGGUGUGAAAUCUCCGAGCCUAACUCGGAAACUGCGUCGGAUACUAUUCAACUCGAGGAAUGGAGGGGAGACUGGAAUUCUCGGUGUAGCAGUGAAAUGCGUAGAUAUCGAGAGGAACACCAGUGGCGAAGGCGAGUCUCUGGACAUUUCCUGACGCUGAGGCACGAAAGCCAGGGGAGCAAACGGG
rnacentral:rRNA from 1 species